rnacentral:rRNA from 1 species
UUGAGUAAAUUUGAAGCGGCUGGAAUAAGUAGUGUAGCGGUGAAAUGCAUAGAUAUUACUUAGAACACCAAUUGCGAAGGCAGGUCACUAAGAUUUAACUGACGCUGAGGGACGAAAGCGUGGGUAGCGAACAGGAUUAGAUACCCUGGUAGUCCACGCUGUAAACGAUGCUAACUCGUUUUUGGAGCGCAAGCUUCAGAGACCAAGCGAAAGUGAUAAGUUAGCCACCUGGGGAGUACGUUCGCAAGAAUGAAACUCAAAGGAAUUGACGGGGGCCCGCACAAGCGGUGGAUUAUGUGGUUUAAUUCGAUGAUACGCGAGGAACCUUACCAAGACUUAAAUGGGAAUUGACAGAUUUAGAAAUAGAUCCUCCUUCGGGCAAUUUUCAAGGUGCUGCAUGGUUGUCGUCAGCUCGUGCCGUGAGGUGUUAGGUUAAGUCCUGCAACGAGCGCAACCCCUGUCACUAGUUGCUAACAUUAAGUUGAGGACUCUAGUGAGACUGCCUACGCAAGUAGAGAGGAAGGUGGGGAUGACGUCAAAUCAUCACGGCCCUUACGUCUUGGGCCACACACGUAAUACAAUGGCCGGUACAGAGGGCAGCUACACAGCGAUGUGAUGCAAAUCUCGAAAGCCGGUCUCAGUUCGGAUUGGAGUCUGCAACUCGACUCUAUGAAGCUGGAAUCGCUAGUAAUCGCGCAUCAGCCAUGGCGCGGUGAAUACGUUCCCGGGCCUUGUACACACCGCCCGUCAAGCCAUGGAAGUUUGGGGUACCUGAAGUCGGUGACCGUAAAAGGAGCUGCCUAGGGUAAAACAAGUAACUAGGGCUAAGUCGUAACAAGGUAACC